GUCUGCUGGGAUCCUUCCUGUGCUUUCAGCAAGUGUCUUCUCAGGCACAUGUGGGCUAACGGAAAAGGCAGUCGUUCUAGGCGUCCUCUAGGAGAAAGGUCCUCUGGGCUCCCUAAGACAGUGUCAGUGGACCUGCCUGGGGAGGUCACGGCUGCUGGCUGUUCGGGGCGCCCGGUCUCCUUUCCGGGAGUGAGUGCGGAGUGUCGGAUACCGAACGGAUGUACUCAGUGGUGUUUCAAGAAAUAUGCAGUCGCUAUGGGAAGACAUACAGCUGGGAUUUGAAGUCGCUGGUGAUGGGUAAAAAGGCGUUAGAAGCCGCUCAGAUUGUGAUAGACGUCCUGCAGCUCCCCAUGUCCAAAGAGGAGCUGGUGGAGGAGAGCCAGAGGAAGCUACAGGAGCUGUUCCCCACCGCUGAGCUUAUGCCAGUGCCUCGUCUUCGAAGAUGCCCCCAAUGGGGUGGAGGCCGCCCUGACAGCCGGGAUGCAGGUGGUCAUGGUUCCCGACGAAAACCUGAGCCGAGACUUGACGACCAAGGCCACCGUCGUGCUGAGUUCCCUGCAGGAUCUGCAGCCCGAGCUGUUUGGCCUGCCCGCCUACGAGUGAGGGCCAGGCCCCUGUGUGCUGCUCUGGCCGCAUCCGUGACCCACACUGCUGAGGGAGCGCAGCGGGUGCAGCGGAAUGUGCCCAGCGUGACGGGCGUGUGGGAGCUGUGUGAGUGGGUGCCAGGCUGUACACGUACGGAUAUACUUCUUUCUCCGAGACGGUGUGACUCUACACUUACCUUCGUUUCUGUUUCACCUCAGUGA
rnacentral:lncRNA from 1 species